rnacentral:rRNA from 1 species
AUGAUUUGUCUGGUUAAUUCCGAUAACGAACGAGAUCUUAACCUGCUAAUUAGCGGUAAAUACAACAUAUUCUUAAGUAAAUAAGAAUAUAGAUAAAAAUAACAAAUAAGAGAAUAUAUUAAGAUGUUAUUAUAUAUAAUGUCUUCUUCCCUGUUCUUCUUGUAUUGUUUUUUUAUUCUAUUUCUUUUUUUACGUAAGAAUGUAUUUACUUGAUUGUAAAGCUUCUUAGAGGGACAUUGUGUGUCUAACACAAGGGAAGUUUAAGGCAACAACAGGUCUGUGAUGUCCUUAGAUGAACUAGGCUGCACGCGUGCUACACUGAUAUAUAUAACGAGUUAUUAAAAGUAUAUCUUUGUAUAUAUAUAUUCUAUAUAAAUAUACAAAAGAUAUAAUUUUCCUCCACUGAAAAGUGUAGGUAAUCUUUAUCAAUAUAUAUCGUAAUGGGGAUAGAUUAUUGCAAUUAUUAAUCUUGAACGAGGAAUGCCUAGUAAGCAUGAUUCAUCAGAUUGUGCUGACUACGUCCCUGCCCUUUGUACACACCGCC